CCUACGGGGAGCAGCAGUGGGGAAUAUUGCACAAUGGGGGAAACCCUGAUGCAGCGACGCCGCGUGAGUGAAGAAGUAUUUCGGUAUGUAAAGCUCUAUCAGCAGGGAAGAAAAUGACGGUACCUGACUAAGAAGCCCCGGCUAACCACGUGCCAGCAGCCGCGGUAAUACGUAGGGGGCAAGCGUUAUCCGGAUUUACUGGGUGUAAAGGGAGCGUAGACGGCGGAACAAGUCAGAAGUGAAAACCCUGGGCUCAACCUUGGGAGUGCUUUUGAAACUGUUUGGCUGGAGUGCAGGAGAGGUAAGCGGAAUUCCUAGUGUAGCGGUGAAAUGCGUAGAGAUUAGGAGGAACACCAGUGGCGAAGGCGGCUUACUGGACUGUAACUGACGUUGAGGCUCGAAAGCGUGGGGAGCAAACAGGAUUAGAUACCCUGGUAGUC
rnacentral:rRNA from 1 species